rfam:Oryza rufipogon genomic scaffold, chr06
AAAAAGGCAAACCCUAGGUUUUCGUGUCCAACUUUGACUGUUCGUCUUAUAUGAAUUUUUUUUUAUAAUUCGUAUUUUUAUUGUUGUUAGAUGAUAAAACAUGAUUAAUAUUUUAUGCGUGACUUGUCUUUUUAAUUUUUUUCAUAAUUUUUUCAAAUAAGACGGACGAUCAAACAUUAGGCACGGAAACCAGGGUUUGUCUUUUU